GUACAACUUUAUUUUUGUCCUGGAAUGUUUUAAUGUGUAUAAUAGUUUGUCUUGGACCUUGUCUCCCCCUCUCCCCCCUCCCUUCCUGUCCUAAAGGAUCAACGUGUGACCAACUAGUGGUGGAAGAGACAGUGGCAGCCAUUUUUCAAAAUGGACUCGGGGGGGGAUAUAGGAAAUGAAGGAAUUCAAUUCAAUACAACUUCAUUUGAAGAGCAACUUAGUGAUUUAAAGGGAUGGGUUGAUGGACAGACGGACAGAGGCGUGAAAAGGGGCGUGUCUCUGGUUGGAACACCCGAAGGGAACGGUUGCUACAGUUACACACAGUUGCUGCUGUUCUCUUCUGGAAGCCGUUUUGUAUUAUUUUUUUUUCAUGAGGUGGCUCGUUACCACGGCAACGAGCUGCGGGCAAGCGUUUUUUUUACGACGGGAAUGGAUGGUUGGGUCAGAUUGUAUCUAAUCGGGCAGAAACACCCGGAGAGCUGAAAUCAAACGAGGAAGUGGGUCGUCUGCAAACUGCAUUAACCUGAAUGUAUUUCCACUGGAGCUGUCGUUUCUCAGUGGGAAACAGUUCACAAAUAGCGUAGAGUGGUCUUUUUUAAAACGGGGAUAACUGAAGGAAGACCCUAGGGAAUCAUGGUGAAUGAAGAUUUCAGAGGAACAGUCCUUUCAAAUAUAGUAUUAAGAGUUGUGUAUUUAACUGUCUUAGGAACACAGUGAUGACUUGUGUAUGUAGAAUAUGUAGCAUAUCUAUAUAGUACUGCAACUACGUAAUGUAUGUAUUUGCAGUGGUUUAUCUGAAAUGUAGCACUUAGUAACUUUUGGAUGUUUCCCAGCUAGCACAUAACGUUCUGAAAACCAUAUGUUAACCCGAGUGGCGCUGCGGUCUAAAGGCACCGCGUCGCAGCGCUAUAGAGGCGUCACUACAGACCCUGGUUCGAUCCGGGGCCUCUACCACAACCGGCCGUUAUCGUGAAGUCCCAUAGGGCGGCGCACAAUUGUCCCAGCGUCGUCCGGGGUUUAGCCGGGGUUUAGCCGGGGUUUGGCCCGGGGUGUAGCCGGGGUUUGGCCGGGGUUUAGCAGGGGUUUGGCCGGGGUUUAGCCGGGGUUUGGCCGGGGUUUAGCUGGGGUUUGGCCCGGGGUAGGCCAUCAAUGUAAAAUAAGAAUUAGUUCUUCAGUGACUUGCCCAGUUAAAGAAAGGAAAGUAGAACAUCAUAGAGCUUGUUCCCUACACAGUGCACUAUGACAUCACAUCUAUGUCACCAAUAGAACCCUCUUCCCUACACAGUGCACUACUUGGUGAGAGUGUGUUUGUUCCUGGGGUUAUAUUGCAUACAACUUUCCAAUAACGUUUCCUCACGGUUCUAUAUAAAUUAAUGUUCUCAAAUUUGUUCAGAGAACGUUAAGAAACAACGUUCUUCUUUUGGGAAUGCCAGUUCUUCAGGCAGGAAAUCCUGGGAAUUUAAUUGAAAGUUACUUGAAUUUUACAACCUUACACACAGAUAUAAACUACAAUAACAACAACCAUGACAUGUUCAAACACGUCUUUGAGAAACUGAAACACGUUUUUUUGAUCUAUAUUUGGUCCUCUCCCUGGCCCAGUGUGAGGUAUCAGCUGUCCGUUAGCCCUGAGUCUCAGUUUCACCGUCUGUUCCACUCAGUCACAGCUUAGGUUUGUGUUUUGUAGUUUUGGCCCCGUUCACACUCAGGUUCUGCCAACUGAUCUACAACACAUUGGACACAAUGGUUGUGAUCUGAUUUAUUUUUUGUGAUGCAAUGAAGAGUUUGUUGCAGAUCCAUUGAGCGGUUUCUCCACACGCUUGUGUAGUUUAUUUCUGUGCAGAAAAACUCUGAUACAACUGGCAUCCCAACCGUUGUGCCAAAUGUGUUGUACGUCAGUUGUAUACGGGGCGGGGCCACUGUCACGACUUCUGCCGAAGUUGGUCCCUCUCCUUGUUCGGGCGGCGUUCGGCGGUCGACGUCACCGGCCUUCUAGCCAUCGCCGAUCCACCUUUUUUGAUUUUCCAUUUGUUUUGUCUUGUCUUCCCUGGUUUCAAUUCCAUCAAUUACAUGUUGUGUAUUUAACCCCCCCCCCCCCCCCCCCCCCCCCCCCCCAUGUCCUUGUCCGGAAUUGUUGAUUGUAAGAGUUUGUGCACGUUAUGUCUGGCGUGCGAAGGGUUUCGUCCCCAUUGUAUUUAUUUAUUGUUUUUGUUCACAAUGAUUUGUAUUAUUAAACUGCACCGUUGUAACACA